UCCAAAACACAUCAUAUAUUAUAUAUAUAAUACAAUACAAGUAUCUCAUAAAUCAAAUGUAAUAUCCGUAUAGGCAGUUGUCUCAAAACAAAAAUCUAGGCAGCUAUGGAGAAGACUCACGAUGAGGAGUAGACGGAAUGCUGGUUUCUCUCUCUUCCUUUCCCCUUUCGUAAAUCCUUCAGCAAUCCACCAAUCAUCCAUGAACCUUCCGCAAGAUUCAACUCCAAAUCGAUAUCAGCCCCACUCAGAUUUAGCCUUCACGUUGCCAUGCACUCAAUCGAUUCAACACCUGCCCUGCCCCAUCGGAAAAUCAUCUUCCUACUGCACGCACACGGAGUGUUAGCAACGAUGGGGAACCAGGCGUGCCCGAGGAGGAAACCAGUACGACAAGGCCAAGACAAAGCGGUCGAACCAAACGUCCCAAUGUGCUGAUUAGCGGACCAGAGUGGGCGUGAGCCGUAGGCUAGCGCAGCUGCGUCUGCGGGCUCACGCCAGGCGCAACGCCUGUAUAAGACCUGAGACUCUCUCGAGGGAGGGAGAUCAAUCAAACACAGAACCGAAUACUUGUAAUAUCCCUAUUGCUACUUGCGUAUCUGGUUUUCCCUCUACUGCUGUUCUUCCUAAACUCCCUUUCUUCCCAAUUAUCCCUACUCGAUUCUAUGCUGCAACUCUGAUGCUAACAAUUGGUACUCAGAGCCAAUU
rnacentral:lncRNA from 1 species